rnacentral:tRNA from 1 species
UAUUAAGUAGCUGAUACAUUAUAGCGCUAGACUUUUAAUCUAGAAAAUGAUUAUAUUUUAAUCCUUAAUAU